CCCUGCUCUUGCUCUGACUCUCUCUCUCUCUCAAAGAAAAACAGAAUGUUCAUUAACAAAAGAUUUGGAUUAAUUCUGUAGGGGAGAGCUUCCCAGAAUAAUAAAACUCCUUAACAGAUGUAGAGGAGCAAAUAAACUGCUUGGAAACCUUACAGAAGACUCUUGUUUACAUGAAACAAAGCCCAUUUAGAGCAACUUCGGGUAAGAUUUAGAUUCAAAUUCAUUUCAUGGAGGAAUUCAGCAUUUUGUAUAUACAAGUCUCAGGUUUCACCUUAGUCUGCUCCCUAAGAGUGAAUACAUUUCCAAAAGAGUGUGCAAAGAACACCCGCGUGAGCUCUGGGGUUUUCAUGGUAAAACACAGGCGCUGUGCUCCACGCGCUGUCUGUGCUGGUAAUGGGCUCAUCUUCCUGUGAACAACAAUGUAAUGGGUCUUCUCACUGAGUGUAGGUGGUGCAGGGCAGAAGGAAUGCAGAGGGCGUUCGCAUGGUGCUGCUGAAGAAUCACAAAAGUGCCAGCCCCCGCCCCAGGAGCGUGGGUCUGCUUCCUCCAGGUCCUUGACGGUUCUCUCUAAACCCACACACCGCCUCCCUCCACCCGGAAGCUUCUCUUCCCCAAACUGCAUUAGGUCUGCUGACCGUGCUGAUUCUGUUAGUCCUUUCCAGGUGUAAGGGAAUUGACUCUUUCCUAUCUGUCUUUCCCAUGGACUCUGAGCCUCAGGGGCCCUGCCUAUGUCUUGUUCCCUACUGGAUUUCCGGUGCCUGUACCUAGAAGGAUGCUUGGCCGGUUCCCACCCAGUUUGGAGCCCAACAUGGGGCUUGAACUCAUGACCCUGAGAUCAAGACCUGAGCUGAGAUCAAGGGUCAGACACUUAACCGACUGAGCCACCCAGGUGCCCCACUAUGUGUUUGUUGUAAUCAAAAGCAGCUUUAGUUUUAAUCAAGCUUGAAAUGAACAUCAAAUAAUUUCUCCUGGAAAUAAACUUCUCAAUUGUUACUGUAGUCAAAUAGCCCUUUCAAGACUUGUUGUUUUUUGGUUUUUUGUUUUUUACAAAAUAAUUUCGUAAGACACAGUGAUUUCUAUUUGUGGCCAAGUGGAUAAUUAAUAAAAUAACUAGUAUACAUUUAAAUUAAAUUAACUACAUGGAUUUGAAAAAUAUGCUGGCAUUCUAAACAUUUUAAUUAGUGUUAUUUUCACUUUACCUCCUCAGAAACCAGCUUUAGUCAUCUGCGGACGUGGGCCUGGCUUCUAGUUAAAAUUUCUUACCUCGUAGACAUGGUUUAUGGUAACAGACCCAAAUUUGCUCACAGGAGUCCAUUCUAGCAGGAAUUGGGAUGGUGGCAGGUUUUCUGAAUAACAGACAAAGUUCCACGGCUCACCUGCAAUCUGAUACGUGAAACCCACUCUGGAGUUUCUGUCGAGAACUUCGGAUUUGAAAACGACAAUUGCCGUACUCGCAGAAGAAUAGAACGUCGGUACAGCCGAAGCAUUUCUGCCACAGAACUGAAUUCCUGGAUUUCCAUCACUCUGAAAUGAAAUGAAAACCAAAUCACACUAGAUUGAGUUUCAAAAGAGAAUAGACCUUAACAGAAAUCGAAUGCA